AUUGAACGCUGGCGGCGUGCCUAACACAUGCAAGUCGAGCGAGCGGCGGACGGGUGAGUAAUGUAUGGGGACCUGCCCUAUGGCGGGGGGUAACUACUGGAAACGGUGGCUAAUACCGCAUACCAUUAGAUUAACCAAUAUGGGAUUAGCUUGUAGGUGAGGUAACGGAUCACCUGGGCGACGAUCCCUAGCCGGUCUGAGAGGAGGAUCAGCCACACUGGGACUGGGACACGGUCCAGACUCCUACGGGAGGCAGCAGUGGGGAAUAUUGCACAAUGGGCGCAAGCCUGAUGCAGCCAUGCCGCGUGUAUGAAGAAGGCCUUCGGGUUGUAAAGUACUUUAAGUCGGGAGGCGUUACCGACAGAAUAAGCACCGGCUAACUCCGUGCCAGCCGCCGCGGUAAUAC
rnacentral:rRNA from 1 species